ensembl:lncRNA
AUCUAAUGUAUGCCUAAACUGAAAGCCUAAACGUUUGUAAUGACAGACUUUAUAAUUCUAAACAAAAGUAGCAUAAAUAUAUUAAUGAUCAUUUUGAUAAUUUUUGUUUCUGAAUGAUUAUAUAUAUAGAGAGAGACAGACAGAGAGAGAGAGAGAGAGAGAGAGAGAGAGAGACUAUAUAAUAUUGUUCAUUUUUAAUUCAUGUUCAUUUUUUAAAAUGUAUAAAUGUUAAAUUGUAUUAGUUAAAGAAUACAAGUUAAAAAUGUAAGAAACAAAUCCAUCAAGGGUGCUUUUUGUUUGUUUGUUUUUGUUUUACUUCAAACCAUUGCUUCCAGCUAAAAUAUAAUUCCUCUAUCCAUAAUAUUGCCUUCUCCAGUGAAAAAAGUUGUCUUGUCUGAAUCAGGAGAGAAAUGUGCACAGAUUGUUUACGAGCAAAAAUAGUACAAAGCAGUUCUAAACAAAUAUGCCAGUGGAUUUUGAUGUGAGAGGACAACAGGGAAGGGACUUUUUGUUUGGACUCUCAUUGUGAUGGCACCCAUUCACUGCAGAGGAUCUACUGGUAAGCAAGUGAUGUAAUGCUAAAUUUCUCUAAAUCUGUUCUUAUGAAGGAACAAACUAAUCUACAUCUUGGAUGGCCUGAGGAGCUCGUUCCGGGACUGAACCCGGCAAUAUUACAAGGUCCCCAACCCGGAAUUGAUCCCGGAAUCAAUCCCGGGACGUGUUUGCGUUCACACGGAAGGCGAUCUGGCAAUUUUCCAGGACCAACGUGCAGUAUGAGAGGGGCUUUACUGUAGCAAUCAGGGUAAGUCAUGUACCACUUCACAGACUGAACACAUGGAACAGAAGAGAGGAGGCACAAAGAGAACAGAAGCAGCAAAGAAACACAGAGGGAGAACACUGCUUUGUCAUACGGAAGGGAGGAACAGUGAAAACAGAUGAAAGGAUCUGAAUUGAAGGAAGUGUUCCUGGACACCUCAGGGGGCACCAGUGCCCACCUGUGUGAGGGACGUGGGGUCCAAUACCUUAUGACUCUCUCCCUGCAGUUACCAACACCUGGCUGAAGGUAUGAUUCACAGCUUUACACUUAUGCUUGGAUGAAGGCAUAUUCAUAUUCUCUCUCUCUCUCUCUCUCUCUCUCUCUCUCUCUCUCACACACACACACACACACACACUCACACUCACACACACACAAAACAAGCUAAUAUUAAGCUCUAUUAACUCUAUGUGCAUGUUAAUGUGUUUACUAGGCUUUGGACUUGAAACAAUUCCACAGAGUUCACUCAGUCACUCUUGAAUUGUAUUGUAUGACUAAAUAUUCUCAAACAGGCCACCUAAAUGCAUUGCUG